UUUGAUCGAGGAGGGGAGUAGAAAGAGAUGCAUGGGAAAUCUGGCACUUGGAUGCUUCCCAACCAUUUCUUUCUUUUUUCCUUUUUCUUUGCUCUUCUUUCGACUUUGGAUUCAAUCAUGGCGGAGCUGCAAACGAGGCCAUGCGUGAGAGAAAGUGAAGGAGACCUCAAAAGGAGCAUGUGUACCGGCAAAGCUAUCCCCAAAUCAUUGCCCAUGGCCAUCUGAGAGUUAAACAAGGUGUGUGGUCCUUGGAGCACUGAGUAGCCCCUACAAUGAUAACUCUGAACAGGCCAUCCUCUUUUUUGACUAGCUAGGUUUUGCAGGACAUGAUCAUAAGAUAUGUUAUCUGGGUGACAGAACUUAGCCUUAACCAAGCUGAUAGUGGUGCAUAAUGUACUUAUCAUCGAGGGCCAUAACUUAUAUUAUCCAGUCCAACCCAAUUCACGGCCAUGGUCUUCUUUACCAAAGAGAUUCAUCAGUUCUGUUCUUGAUCUUUUGUAGGCUGGCCAAAGCUGGAAUAGCCAUGAUUAGACUUCUAACGGGAGGAUGAGGGUAUAUUUCUUUUGAUUAGCGCAGGAAGAGAUGGCAGGGAAGACAUGAGUGACAGUAAAGAUGCUUCAUAUUUCCCAUCCCAAAUGAGAUUUGUCAUCUUCCACCAUGUAGUGAGUGGUAUGUGGAAUAAAGAAAGCUGGUUUCUAAGUGGUCUCCUUUUGAUCGGAAAGAUUAGUAAGUACUUUCAUUCCUUAAUCGAAGUCAGAUUGUUGGGAGAAUAAAUUACUUGUUAGGUAAGGAAU
rnacentral:lncRNA from 1 species